AUUAGAUUCAGUUUAUUCUUUUUUUGGCACAAAUGUUGCAUAAGUAAUUAUGUCAUUUUGUUUUAUUAUUAGGGUUAUUAAUUUUCACCACUUGAGUAAGAUAGUGUUCAUUUGGUUUCUCUACUCUGAAGAUACCAAUUUCCUUUUCUAAAUCAGAAGAUUACUAUUGACCCCAAAUUUAAGCAUACACUUGUGACUCUUGCUUCAAUUAACUGUGGCUAUGAUGGUUGAAAUAUGGUGAUUUUCUAAUGUUAUCAUUCAUCUCACACUCAUUAGUUUAUACUCUAAUGAUAAGUUUUCCUUUGCUUAUUAUCUGAACAGAUUCAUAGAUUCUUAUUUCACUCAGUGAGUUUAAAUGACAUUGCUAUCGUAUUUAUUCUAAUGUUACAGUUGUCCCACAUUUGGCCAGUGGGAGCUUCUUCAAGAUGACACCUUUCAAGGCAAGAUACACUUGCUUUGCAGAAAGUAAAACAUAAAACCCAAGACAAUAUGGAAAGUGCAUUCUCUUGUGCCCUUCUCAGUGCAUGGAUGGGAGACUAGCAGAGUUUGGACAAGACAAACCAGUCAUCAGGAGACAAGGGCAAAGUCUAGAUUACUGGAUUUAUCUUACUGUAUUAAAAAUCCUUACUCUAAUAAGGAGAGUAACUAAGAACAGAGUAGGGACGAAGAGCAUGAGAAGAAGAUUAACAUUAAACAGGGAUGAGAGGUGGGAGGGAAAGGGAGAGAGAAGGGAAAUUGCAUGGAAAUGGAAGGAGACCCUCAGGGUUAUACAAAAUUACAUACAAGAGGAAGUGAGGGGAAAG
rnacentral:lncRNA from 1 species